GGUGAGGUGGCAGAGAGGCUAUGCGUACGCCUGCAGAGCGUAUCUACGUCGAUUCGAAUUCGGCCCUCACCACCA
rnacentral:tRNA from 1 species